rnacentral:rRNA from 1 species
GACGAACGCUGGCGGCGCGCCUAACACAUGCAAGUCGAACGGAGUUAAUAUUUUUGAAGUUUUCGGAUGGACGAAAUAUUAACUUAGUGGCGAACGGGUGAGUAACACGUGAGUAACCUGCCUUUCACAGGGGGACAACAUUUGGAAACGAAUGCUAAUACCGCAUAAGACCACGCUAUGGCAUCAUAGAGAGGUCAAAGGAGCAAUCCGGUGAAAGAUGGGCUCGCGUCCGAUUAGCUAGAUGGUAAGGUAAUGGCUUACCAUGGCGACGAUCGAUAGCCGGACUGAGACGUUGAACACCCACAUUCGGACUUGGGCACGGCCCAGACUCCUACGGGAGGCAGCAGUGGGGAAUAUUGCACAAUGGGGGAAACCCUGAUGCAGCGACGCCGCGUGGAGGAAGAAUGUCUUCGGAUUGUAAACUCCUGUCUUUGGGGACGAUAAUGACGGUACCCAAGGAGGAAGCACCGGCUAACUACGUGCCAGCCGCCGCCGGAAUAC